rnacentral:lncRNA from 1 species
UCGAAGUAAAAGGUAAAGACUUAAAGAGAGCGAGAGCUUUGUGUAGUUUUUAGUGUCUCACAGACAAUGAUAAAACACACAUGGAUAAUAUGAUACCUGCUACAUUAGAUUAACUGCUUCAUCUGAAAUGCCUGGAAAGUCGUGGAUCCAGACCACCUUUUACAAGAGGGAAUGUGUGAAGUUUUUGCCAGCAUCACGAGAUCAUCACAGGUGUUCUCCGGUUUGCCAUGUCUGUCAAAACUUAGUCAGGUGCUGCUGUGGGAGGCUGAUAGGAGAGCAUGUGUACCUGGACUCCGCCUCCCCGGUGCUGUCCUCCUCCUCCUCCUCGUCCGGUCAGGAGGUAUGGUCCGUGGCUCGGCACACCAAACUCAGCCCAACCGACGCCUUUGGGUCCAUCGACUUCCAGGGCAGCACCAAGCGGUCCUGUCGCGCCAAGGUGUGUGGUGGUGUCCCUGGAGCCGGUUUAUUACGAUAAAAACACAAAUUACACAUUCGUUAUUAUUCAACUUGUUUCAUCACAAUGCUCAAAGUGUCGAACUAUAACAAACUGUCCCGCAUCACACACAUUGCCUCAAAGAUCAUAGGCCUCCCCUCACAUAACCUGACAACCCUAAAUAACAAGGCCAUCUGAGGAAGGGCUAUCACAAUAACACAAGACCCGGACCACCCAUUAUACACUGUUUUCACUUUGCUCCCAUCAGGUCAGAGAUACAGAACAAUAGCUUGCAGAAAAACACGCUUU